AGAGUUUGAUCAUGGCUCAGAACGAACGCUGGCGGCAUGCCUAACACAUGCAAGUCGAACGGUUCCUUCGGGGACAGUGGCAGACGGGUGAGUAACACGUGGGAAUCUACCUGGUUCUUCGGGAUAACAGUUGGAAACGACUGCUAAUACCGGAUACGCCCUUUUGGGGAAAGAUUUAUCGGAAUCAGAUGAGGCCCGCGUAAGAUUAGCUAGUUGGUGAGGUAAUGGCUCACCAAGGCGACGAUCUUUAGCUGGUCUGAGAGGAUGAUCAGCCACACUGGGACUGAGACACGGCCCAGACUCCUACGGGAGGCAGCAGUGGGGAAUAUUGGACAAUGGGCGCAAGCCUGAUCCAGCCAUGCCGCGUGAGUGAUGAAGGCCUUAGGGUUGUAAAGCUCUUUCACCCGGUGAAGAUGAUGACGGUACCCGCAGAAGAAGCCACGGCUAACUACGUGCCAGCAGCCGCGGUAAUACGUAGGUGGCAAGCGUUAUCCGGAAUUAUUGGGCGUAAAGCGCGCGCAGGCGGUCCCUUUAAGUCUGAUGUGAAAGCCCACGGCUCAACCGUGGAGGGUCAUUGGAAACUGGGGGACUUGAGUGCAGGAGAGAAGAGUGGAAUUCCACGUGUAGCGGUGAAAUGCGUAGAGAUGUGGAGGAACACCAGUGGCGAAGGCGACUCUUUGGCCUGUAACUGACGCUGAGGCGCGAAAGCGUGGGGGAGCAAACAGGAUUAGAUACCCUGGUAGUCCACGCCGUAAACGAUGAGUGCUAAGUGUUAGAGGGUUUCCGCCCUUUAGUGCUGCAGUAAACGCAUUAAGCACUCCGCCUGGGGAGUACGGCCGCAAGGCUGAAACUCAAAGGAAUUGACGGGGGCCCGCACAAGCGGUGGAGCAUGUGGUUUAAUUCGAAGCAACGCGAAGAACCUUACCAGGUCUUGACAUCCUCUGACAAUCCUAGAGAUAGGACUUUCCCCUUCGGGGGACAGAGUGACAGGUGGUGCAUGGUUGUCGUCAGCUCGUGUCGUGAGAUGUUGGGUUAAGUCCCGCAACGAGCGCAACCCUUGAUCUUAGUUGCCAGCAUUCAGUUGGGCACUCUAAGGAGACUGCCGGUGACAAACCGGAGGAAGGUGGGGAUGACGUCAAAUCUCCAUGCCCCUUUUGACCUGGGCUACACACUUGCUACAAUGGAUGGUACAAAGGGCUGCAAGACCGUGAGGUUUAGCCAAUCCCAUAAAACCAUUCUCAGUUCGGAUUGUAGGCUGCAACUCGCCUACAUGAAGCCGGAAUCGCUAGUAAUCGUGGAUCAGCAUGCCACGGUGAAUACGUUCCCGGGUCUUGUACACACCGCCCGUC
rnacentral:rRNA from 1 species